rnacentral:rRNA from 1 species
CAGCCGCCGCGGUAAUACGUAGGGUGCGAGCGUUACUCGGAUUUACUGGGCGUAAAGCGUGCGCAGGCGGCCCGUUAAGCCAGGUGUGAAAUCCCUGGGCUCAACCUAGGAAUUGCGCUUGUGACUGGCGGGCUCGAGUACGGUAGAGGGGGGUGGAAUUCCUGGUGUAGCAGUGAAAUGCGUAGAGAUCAGGAGGAACGCCGAUGGCGAAGGCAGCCCCCUGGGCCUGUACUGACGCUCAUGCACGAAAGCGUGGGGAGCAAACAGGAUUAGAUACCCUGGUAGUCCACGCCCUAAACGAUGGGUACUAGCCGUUUGGUGCGCGAUAGCGCUGAGUGGCGAAGCUAACGCGUGAAGUACCCCGCCUGGGGAGUACGGCCGCAAGGUUGAAACUUAAAGGAAUUGGCGGG